rnacentral:lncRNA from 1 species
CCAGUCACUCUGGACGCAGUCCCUUGGAAGCAAACUAUCCUUCUGUGGUCUCUGCAUGUGACAGAGAAGGAAGAUGGCCUCUAUGCUCUCAGCUAUAUUAGUAAAUUCCUCAGGAGUUUACAUCAACUGGGAGAAUCUGUAUCCUUAAAAUUAAAACAUUUAAAUCAUGAGUAUAAGAGUCCAAGCUUUGGAUCAAGAAAUCACCUCCAUCUUGGUUGGAGUUUGGGGUAUGGUGUGUAUUUGAAGAUUCAAACUCCACGUGGUCUUCAGGAGCUCAAACACUCUCACACAGAACAGAAAGGAAGUCUCCAAAACGAAUGUGAAAUUGACAAAUCACCGCACUGCUUCAGGACCCCAGCCCAUGGAAUGCUGUGAUCAACAUUCAGAGUCGAUCAUCCUACAUCAAUUACCCUAAUCUAGGAAAUCCCACAGAGCCAGGACCAAAGAACGUAAAACAAAAACAAACAAAACCCAGCCUGUGAACAUUAGCAAUAGCACAGUACCUGAGACUACACAGAAGCCUGGGAAAGUCACCUGUGAAUGCUGAUGCUCUACAGCAUCACCAUGGUAGAGAAACUACAAAAGAAGCUUUUGAUUCUGAAGCUGAGCCUGAUCCUCCUAACACAGAACCUGGCUUUUUCAACAGGGACCACUUUCCACUGGGUGUCCCAGUGCCUAUCACACUUUAGUAGGACUUGAGGACAAAUCGUGUCUUGUUCUUGGAAGAAGCAUCCUGGCUAAGUGGCUGC